rnacentral:tRNA from 1 species
GUACCUUUAGCUCAGUUGGUAGAGCAUCUGACUUUUAAUCAGAGGGUCGCUGGUUCGAACCCAGCACGGCUCA